AGUUGUACAAUAGCUGUAUCUACAAUAUCCAGUUCAGUACAGGAAGAAAACAAAGUGGAUACCUGGCUCGUGGCAAUUCCCGGACAACAGUAGUUAGAUGCAGACAACAUCGCGUCCUGGCACCCACCCAACUCGCCGACCGCCCGCACGUCACCGGCCGCCUCCACCCUGGGUGUGACUCAUGCUCUAAAGCCACCUCAGUCGGCCUUAUACCUGCUGGGAGGACCAAAUCAAAGCUCAGGCUUCUGAGAAAGAAUGGAUAUAAAAGUUCACACCUCUGACUGGAAGUUAAUAUCAAAAUCUACACUUUAAAUGAUGAUGAACAUCAACGAAUUCUCAAGAGAUGACUGGGAUUUCAGUCAGGGACCUGUCUUGCAUGAAAUCCAUGGAGGUUCCAUUUACUGUUCACACGUCACACUGCUCUGGAGAAGACAUGGACACACAGGCACCAAUAGUGCCGCUUCCACCAACUGAGACAGUCAGGGCUCUGCAAGACUCUGUUAAGUGUUAAGAUGCGAUCACCUUUUAUUGACCCUCAGAGGGGACAUUUGGUUGUUGCAGCAGCACAAAGACUGCAAUAGUACAGAUAAAAAAAAGAACAAUAAAUAAAUAAAAAAUAUAUAUAAAAACUAAAAUAAGAAUAGAAGAAAAAAGAAACUAUACAAGAGCAUAUGGAGACAAAACACGUACUAUUAAAGUAACAGCUUGUCAUCAAGUCUGUUAACAAUGAACACCUGACUGAUGAUAUGAUUAAGUAAUGUAAUGUAAUAUUAAAUAAUCAAUAUAGAGUUGUGAUGUAAAUCUGACAUUGAAUAUGAUGCAAAAAUCUGUGUAAUAUUAAAGCUGGAACAGGCAGGUUAAUUCUCACUGGGCAAAAAUCCCAUAACAAACAUGAUCAUGUUGUAAUUCAAGUGGUCUGAGAGGAAUCUAGACUUGUGCACCUCCUCUUGGCUCUGUUUUCAGACUGUAGAAAAUCUAGCCAGUGACAGGAGACUUUGGCUAAUCACAGGUCAUUUGCGAGAAAGAGGGUGUUCCUAUUAGCUGUUCUACAAGUGAAGAUGUGUGUGCACGCCCCUUCAGAUGGUGAGAGCCUGAUUCAAUGUUGAAGAAUGCGACAGAAAAAGUUGCUUUUCCAGCACUGAAAACUGCUUACACUGCAAAGCAACCAAAAAAAAAGAAAACACACUUAUCAAAAAGAGAAUCUAAAACAGAGUCUGACAAUAAACCAAAUAAAACGUGUCACUAUCGGCAACAUGUUUCAGAGAAAUGUUGCUAAUAGUGUAGCUUUCUGCCAACUGGAGAUAAAGAUUCAUGACUGCAGCUUCAUGUUCAUCAAAUUUAUGUAGCUAACAUUAGCAGGAUCCUCAAUCACUGUUUCUUCCAUCUAGGAGGAGAGUGAGCAGCAGCUCUGGAGACUGACCCCCAGUCAGCAGCUGCAGUGCCUAAAUCCAGCUAGUGCAAACCCCAGCUGCUGGGAACUGGGUGGCCCCAUCUUCCUUCAAGAUCAGCAAACUUUCUGUUGCUGCUGUUACACAGGUUAGACUGGGCACUGUUUCUGGCCACCAGCCCGAUGUGCAGUGUUAGGGAAGCAACUUUGAAAGCACUGCUUUGCAUGCUACAAUUUAUGAGAAAAAAAAAAAAAAAAAAAAUAAUAAUCACGGGAAAGACAACUUUAGUUUUUUAUACAAUGAUACAAUGUCCACCUGCCUUCCAGAAAAUAAAGUUUCUCAUAAUUGGAUCUUCUUUCAGUUAUGCUUUUGGCUUUUUGAUCCAUGUGAGGUCUGACUCCACCCGCCUCUGCUAGUCCUCCUCCUCCUCCUCCUCUUCCCUUUACAAGUGCACAAAGGAUAAAAGAAAAAAAAAAGCAUGAGUGGCUAAUAAGCACCCCUGCCCCCACCUCACUGGUACAAGCUGGAGAUGGAGCGGCCUGGUCACUUGGGACAAGAUAUCAAAGAGAGUCGGGGGGCUGUUAUCUGGAUGUGCAGUGACAGACCCCUGCUGUUGCUGUCCCUCUCAUUAGUCUCUCUUCCUCCUUCCCUCUCUCCACCGCCUCUCAUCCUCAACACUUGUCACCGUGCUGUCAGUUGCCUGCUCAACUGUAGACACAAGACCAGCCUGGGGACCGGAUGGAUAGAGAGAACGACAGGAGGAAGGAAUACAAAAAGAAAGAUUUUGAGGUGUAUGCCAGGCUUGUCAGCCAAAGCAAACAACAGAGGAAGAUCCAUUUCUAUGAACUCUAAUCCAUCCUGCAAAUGCAUCUUCUUUCUCCUGCCACAGUCUGGGUACAAAGAAAACCUGGAGCAGAGAGACUUGCUCUCUCAAUCCUGUCAAUUCAGCCGUCUACAACUGCAGAAAGACAGAAAGAGAGAAACAGCUACGCAGCAACCUG